rnacentral:rRNA from 1 species
AUGAAGACCGGAAAGACGAAGCAGGGCCAAGAUUCAUCUAGCCACGGCCAGGCGGCGCGUAUGACCAAGGGGUGCGCGGCGUUCUUCGUGGGCAACGACGGCGAGGCUUGGCAGCGGUUUGCGGUGCCGGUGACGCUACUCGGGCACCCCGCGAUCGUCGAGCUGCUCGCCGAGGCGUGGGAGAAGUACGGGUACGCACAUGAGGGCGCCGUCGUCGUCCCCUGCAGCGUGGAGCGGUUCCAGAGGGCGGUCGACGCAGCGAGGGCCCAAGAACCGCACCAUCACCAUCACCACUUCCGGCUUCCGCACCUCGCCGGGUGCUUUAGGCCGCCGCAUGUUGUUGCGUAG